rnacentral:rRNA from 1 species
CAGCAGCCGCGGUAAUACGUAGGUCCCGAGCGUUGUCCGGAUUUAUUGGGCGUAAAGGGAGCGCAGGCGGUUUAGUAAGUCUGAAGUUAAAGGCAUUGGCUCAACCAAUGUACGCUUUGGAAACUGUUUAACUUGAGUGCAAGAGGGGAGAGUGGAAUUCCGUGUGUAGCGGUGAAAUGCGUAGAUAUAUGGAGGAACGCCGGUGGCGAAAGCGGCUCUCUGGCUUGUAACUGACGCUGAGGCUCGGAAGCGUGGGGAGCAAGCAGGAUUAGAUACCCGGGUAGUCCCUGUCUCUUAUACA